UCAAGGGGACCAAAUACUUUCGCAAGGCACUGUACAUUGCAAUUUAUUGCCCUGGCCACAUCUGCUGUCCUCAUGUGCCUAAGGCAUUUUCACGCAGAUGAGCAGGGACCCUGGGCAUCUUUCUUUUGGUGUUUUUCAGAAUCAGUAGAAAGGCCUCUUUAGUGUGCUAAUUUUCAUAACUGUGACCUUGAAUGCCUACUGUCUGUAAGCUGUUAGUGUCUUAACGACUGUUCUACAGGUGCAUGUUCAUUAAUUGUUCAUGGUUCAUUGAAUAAGCAUGUGUUUAAACCCCUUACAAUGAAGAUCUGUGAAGUUAUUUGGAUUUUUACAAAUUAUCUUGGAAAGACAGGGUCCUGAAAAAGUGAUGUUUAUUUUUUGCUGAGUUUAUAACUGCAGUAUGCUGCAAAUACUGCGUCCAAAAUAACACAAUUUUUUUACUGGAGUAAUUUUAUAGUGUAACUGCAGUUAGAGUGCAAUAUAACUGCAGUACACUGCAGUUAUUCUGUCAUUACUGCAUCCAAAAUACCAAAGUCGACUGCAGUUACUGCACUUUUACUGCCAUUUCAAAACAGUCCUAUUUUUUGUAAGGGUGGUGCUGUGACUGAGCAGUCAUUCCACUGGAACAAGGUGGGGGAAGCUCCCUUCUUGAUUAGCCGACGUCCAGGUGGAGUUGAAGGCUCCAUCAAGUCAUCACUUUGGGAAUGGCGGCUGCAGACCCUGGUAUGGGAGAUGUUGAAUCUCUCACCUUCAAUAUUUCUGAUCCACUCUUUAUUUUUUUUCAUCCAGUAAAGGGAAAGUGUGAGAGCCAAACACGGAGGAUGUUUCUCAAAAUGCAUACUACCAAUCCCCCGAGUCCAAAAAGUAUGUGAAAGUAUGUGAAAUGGAGGACAGUUCUUGAAAAUGUACUCCGUUUGUACACAUUUUGAGGCAUGCAUUGAUUCUAGCUUUAACGCAAACUUAUCAAAGGGUGUGUUCGUAAUUUCACUCUGGUUAUCUACUCUGAUUUCAGAGCAUUAUCAGAAUAACUGAUGAAUUAACGAAACUACAACACCCUUGAAUAUGACCGGUGUCAGUAAACGUUGGCGAAAAAAAACUGCAGCACAGUAGUCACCAACGCUCUAGAUAACAUGAAAACAGCCUAACCAGCUCUGCUAGGGUGAGUAAAAUGGUCAGAGUGAGGUGUUCUCUCAUUUGUGUCUGGAAGUAGCUAGCAAGCUAGAAAACUUUAGCCAGUUAGCUUGGGUGCUUAAAUGCCGGUGUGCACUCUGAACCCUCCGAGAGCGAAACGCUCUGAAUUUUCGAAUUGCCAAUGUAACACUGAAUUUACAAACGCCCGAGCGCACUCUGAUCACACUGUGGCAACCCAGAGCUAAUUUACAAACAUACCCUGUAAACACACCCUAUGCACAGAAAUAUGACCACGAGCAUGCGCUGACCAACUGGCAAGUGUCUUCACAGACCUUUUUAUCCUCUCCCUGUCCGAGUCUGUAAUACCAACAUGUUUAAAGCAGACCACCAUAGUCCCUGUGCCCAAGAACACUAAUGUAACCUGCCUAAAUGACUACCGACCCGUAGCACUCACGUCUGUAGCCAUGAAGUGCUUUGAAAGGCUGAUCAUGGCUCACAUUAACACAACACAGAAACCCUAGACCCACUACAAUUUGCAUAGAUGAUGCAAUCUCUAUUGCACUCCACACUGCCCUUUCCCAACUGUACAAAAGGAACAACUAUGUGAGAAUGCUAUUCAUUGACUACAGCUCAGCGUUAAACACCUCCCUCUGCAACUUGGUCCUGGACUUCCCGGCGGGCCGCCCCCAAGUAGAGGGGUAGGUAACAACACAUCCGCUAUCAAUCCCUAUCCCAGUCUGAUGUCCCCACAUGCUUCAAGAUGGCCACCAUUGUUCCUGUUCCCAAGAAAGCUAAGGUCUACAGACGAUGCAAUCGCCAUCACACUGCACACUGCCCUAUCCCAUCUGGACAAGAGGAAUACCUAUGUAAGAAUGCUUUUCAUUAACUACAACUCAGCAUUCAACACCAUAGUACCAGUACCCUCCAAGCUCAUUAUUAAGCUAGAGUCCCAGGGUCUCAACCUCCCCUGUGCAAUUGGGUCCCGGAUUUCCUGACGGGCCGGCUCCAGAUGGUGAAGGUAGGAAACAACAACUCCACUUUGCUGAUCUUCAACACUGGGGCCCCACAAGGGUGCAUGCUCAGCCCCCUCAUGUACUCCCUGUUCACCCACGACUGCGUGGCCAUGCACGCCUCCAACUCAAUCAUCAAGUUUGCGGACGACACAACAGUGGUAGGCUUGAUCACCAACAAUGACGAGACGGCCUACAGGGAGGAGGUGAUGGCCCUCGGAGUGUGGUGUUAGGAAAAUAACCUCUCACUCAAUGUCAGCAAAACAAAAGAGAGGAUUGUGUACUUCAGGAAACAGCAAAGGGAGCACCCCCCUAUCCACAUCAACGGGACAGCAGUAGAGAAGUUGGAAAGUUUUAAGUUCCUCUGUGUUCAUAUCACCGACAAACUGAAAUGGUCCAUGCACACAGACAGUGGUGAAGAAGGCGCAACAGCGCCUCUUCAACCUCAGGAGGCUGAAAAAAUGUGGCUUGUCACCGAAAAACCAUCACUAACUUUUACAUGUGCACAAUUGAGAGCAUCCUGUAUCACCGCCUGGUACGACAACUGCACUGCCCACAACUGCAAGGCUCUCCAGAGGGUGGUGCGGUCUGCAGAACGCAUCACCGGGGGAAAACUACCUGCCCUCCAGGAUACCUACAACACCCGACGUCACAGGAAGGCAAAAAAAGAUAAUCAAGGACAACAACCACCCGAGCCACUGUCUGUUCACCCCACUUCCAUCCAGAAGGCGAGGUCAGUACAGGUGCAUCAACGCUGGGACAUAGAAAUUGAACAGCUUCUAUCUCAAGACCAUCAGAUUGUUUAAACAGCCACCACUAGUGCAGAAAGGAGGCUGCAUAGCUACAGACUUGAUAUCAUUGGCCACUUUAAUAAACAAAACACUUGUCACUUUAAUAAUGCCACUUUAAUAAUGUUUAUAUAUCUCAUAUUACUCAUCUCAUAUGUAUAUAAUGUAUACUGUAUCCUUCACUAUAUAUUCUUUACUAUCGAUUGCAUCUUAGCCGCUCUGUCACUGCUCAUCCAUAUAUUUUAUACUUAUAUAUUCUUAUCCCAUUCCUUUACUAGAUUGUGUGUAUUAGGUUUUGUUGUGGAAUUUUGUUAGAUAUUAGGUUUUGUUGUGGAAUUGUUAGAUAUUACUUGUUAGAUACUGCUGCACUGUCGGAUCUAGCAGCACAAGCAUUUUUCUACACUCGCAAUAACAUCUGCGAACCAUGUGUAUGUGACCAAUAAAAUUUGAUUUGAUUUAGAUAAAGGGGGAGUAAUCAGUGUAGUGAUGAAGUCCAGGUGUGCCUAAUGAAGGGCUUCCAGGACUGGUGGUUAGUAAAUCGGUGACUUUUGAGCGUUGGAACGGGAGUAGACGUGACAGGUGGUCCCCCCACGGCAGGCACACUCUGAGGGCUCCAAUCCGGUGUUCCCAGUCCUGUUUUACUGAGUGAAAGACAUAUUAUGUCAGCAGAUGGCGCUGUUGUGCUGAGGCACCAAAGGGCCAAGUACAAUAACCCUCCACAAUAUCUCUCCAAAAGGAUUAAACAAAAUCACGAUAAACCGCUAUAGAACUAAGCAAAGGAGUAUAAUAAUAUUAAAGAAAAAAUAAAUGGUAAUAGGAAAAUAGGGAAGAAAUUCAAACAACUCAAUGAGUCAAAUCAACAAGGCUUGAUAUGGUAAUUAAACCAAGACAAAUGAAGAGGCAAUGGAUAGUGGCAGAAAUAACGUGGCAGAAAUAACAUUAUCUGGUAUUAUCUGGUAAUAAAGGCCCAUAUCUAUUGUUGAGAGUUCACAUUUUCAAUUGUCUUUGUAGUAAGACAAUAGUGAAAAGAAUAGUUCAGAUGCAGAGGAUGCUCGGGGGGGGGUGAGCUGUAAAAGCCAUUACAAUGUGCCAGACCUCCUUAUGCUCCUCCCACCGGCCUCUUCUUUUCAGAUGUGAGCUGGGAGUGUUCAAGCAGAAAAGUAUCUAUAAUCGACUAUGACUUGUCGAGUGCAAUCGAAAGGAAAUGGCUCUGGUUGUCAGUCCUUACUGGUACGGAUGGAAUGAGGGAGGUGGGCUAAAUAUUAGUGGCACUGACUGAAUUCAAAAUUUAGUUGGUUUCGGCGUGUGGUUUGAUGUGGGUGUCUCUUGUGUGUAUUUGCAGGUAGUAAGAGUUAGACAAAUUAUUUUGCCAAUCGGCUGUAGUACAACUGUGGCAAAGUUGGUUUGACUCUGGGGACUGUCAAUAAAUUACCCAAUGUAAAUGGGACAAUCAUUUCAUGGUGCACAUCUUUUAGCUGUGUCAUUGAAUGCUUUCAAUUAUUUGUAUGAAUGUCUGCAAAUUAUAGUUGGUUUGAGGUUUUUAAUUCAUAGAAAUGUGGAGCUAUUGACCGUUUAAAAUAUUGUCCCAUGUACUGUACAUUGUGUAAUGUACUCAUGAUCCCUAACUAGCCCCACUGGGAUAUCGAUUCACGUGCAGCUGUGCUCUGAAUUGAUUACCAACGCUCUAGAUAACACGAGUAGGGUGAGUAAAAUGGUGUGUCUCAUUUGUGUCUGGAAGUAGGUAGCAAGCUAGAAAACUUUUUAGCCAGUUAGCUUGGGUGCUUAAAUGCUGUGUGGGGAUGAUUUAAAUAAACCCAACCCACGGAAAACUGUUAUGAUACCCUUUAUUCCCCAUGACGUACGAGUUGUUCCUAUCUCGCAAAUCUCAGUUUUGGAUGAGACUGAAAUGAUCCUAUUUACACUUUGUGGUCACUAGAAUAAAUGUUUCCCACUCAUAUCGAUACCACACAAGCCAUUUUCAAAAUGAGAAGUUGAUUUUUGUAACUGUCUGGGUGAAACCCAUAGUAAGUUAAGAAGGUUCUAGUCAUAUAAUGCAAUGAAAGAGGGCAGCUUCUAGUCAGAUACAGUACCUUCAGAAAUGAUUCACACACCUUGACUUUUCCCACAUUUUCUUGUGUUACAGCCUGAAUUUAAAAUAUUAAACAGAGGCAAAAUCGCAGAGCCUGGUUCAGUCAGCUGGGAGAUUAAUUCACCUUUCAGCAGGUUAAUAACCUGAACGUCCAAAUCUUCACUGAAGUUGCUUAGAAAGACAGUGAAUGUUCCUGAGUGGCCACGUAAUAGUUUUGACUUAAAAGUACUUAAGAAUCUAUGGCAAAACCAAAAAUGAUCAACAACCAAUUUGAAAGAGAACGAAAAAUGUUGAAAAGGAUAAUGGGCAAAUGUUGCACAAUCCAGGUGAAGAAAGCUCUUAGAAACUUACCCAGAAAGACACAACUGUAAUCACUGCCAAAGGUGCUUCUACAAAGUAUUGACUCAGAGGUGUGAAUAAUUAUGUAAAUGAGAUAUUUAUAUAUUUCAUUUUCAAUGCAUUUGCAAAAAAUGUCUAAGAACAUGUUUUCACUUUGUCACUGUGUUAUGUGUUUAUUAUGUGUAGAUUCCUUAGAUUCUAUCCAUUUUGAAUUCAGGCUGUAACACAAAAUGUGGAAUAAGUCAAAGGGUAUAAACAUUUUCUGAAGGCACCACCUCGACAAUUAAUAUACAGGAAAAUGGUACAAAUGAAGUAAGCUAGGCCACACGUCCUCAAUAUUAUUCCAUUUUAUUUAAUGAAGUUUAUAUCAUCAUUCAUGAGUGAAAACAAUACAGAUACAGGCCCAGGACUUUGAGUUUCAGAUUCAGAUCAAGAGCUUAGGUACCAAGGCCCACAUCAGGCCCAGUUUCAUCAGCCCCACUAUACUAAUCUUAUAUAUACGGUCAUCAUCUCUGCUGGUGCAAUUUGUCAACCAUAGAGCAGAUUACAGAGAUGCAUUGAUAGCAUUUCGUAAAUGUAUAAAUCAACAGCUUGGUAUGGGUCUUGUCAGGAUUUGGCCAGGGUUGUUCCGGGUUUUGGUCACUAGAUGCCCCCAUUGUGCUUUUUGACCUCAUGUUUUUUCCCUUGUUCCCCAUUAUUAUUUGCACCUGUGCCUCGUUUCCCCUGAUUGUAUUUAAACCCUUAGUUUCCCUCAGUUCUGUGCUCUGUGUUUGUAUGUUAGCACCCGGCCCUAGUGUUCUGUGUAUUCUUGUCGAUUCCGGUGGAUGCUCUUGUGGAAUUCUGUUUUUGUUUUUGAGUAUCUCUUAAGGCUUUUUUGUGCUAUUCCUACCACCUUUUGGAUUUGCCAUUUUUUGUAUUGAAGGACUUCUCCUUUUUACUUUAUUAAAUACACCGUCUUAAGUACUGCUGUGUCUGCCUCAUCUUCUGGGUUCUGCUGACUAUUCGUGGCUCAGUUGGUUAAGUGACUGUUUCUCACUCCGGAGACCCAGGUUCGUAACCGGGUCCUGACAGGUCUCUUGGAAGAUUAAGCCAUGAUGUCACGCCCUGGCCUUAGUAUUCUGUGUUUUCUUUAUUAUGUUGGUUAGGCCAGGGUGUGACAUGGGUGAUUUAUGUGUCUUGUUUUGUCUAGGGGUUUUGUAGUCUAUGGGGUUGUGUUCAGUUGAGUGUGCUAGGUAAGUCUAUGGUUGCCUGGAGUGGUUCUCAAUCCGAGGCAGGUGUUUAUCGUUGUCUCCGAUUGGGAACCAUAUUUAGGCAGCCAUAUUCUUUAGGUAUUUUGUGGGUGAUUGUUCCCUGUCUCUGUGUUUUGCACCAGUGAGGACUGUUUUGGUUUCUCCAUGUUUUCUUAUUUAGUAUAGUGCUCACGUUUUCAUCUUUCAUUAAACAUGUUUAUAAAUAAACACGCUGCAUUUUG